rnacentral:rRNA from 1 species
AAAUUGAAGAGUUUGAUCAUGGCUCAGAUUGAACGCUGGCGGCAGGCCUAACACAUGCAAGUCGAACGGUAACAGGAAGAAGCUU